GGGUUAGUGGCGGACGGGUGAGUAACACGUGGGAACGUGCCUUUAGGUUCGGAAUAGCUCCUGGAAACGGGUGGUAAUGCCGAAUGUGCCCUUAGGGGGAAAGAUUUAUCGCCUUUAGAGCGGCCCGCGUCUGAUUAGCUUGUUGGUGAGGUAAUGGCUCACCAAGGCUACGAUCAGUAGCUGGUCUGAGAGGAUGACCAGCCACAUUGGGACUGAGACACGGCCCAAACUCCUACGGGAGGCAGCAGUGGGGAAUCUUGCGCAAUGGGCGAAAGCCUGACGCAGCCAUGCCGCGUGGAUGAUGAAGGUCUUAGGAUUGUAAAAUCCUUUCACCGGUGAAGAUAAUGACUGUAGCCGGAGAAGAAGCCCCGGCUAACUUCGUGCCAGCAGCCGCGGUAAUACGAAGGGGGCUAGCGUUGCUCGGAAUUACUGGGCGUAAAGGGAGCGUAGGCGGACAUUUAAGUCAGGGGUGAAAUCCCAGAGCUCAACUCUGGAACUGCCUUUGAUACUGGGUGUCUUGAGUGUGAUAGAGGUAUGUGGAACUCCGAGUGUAGAGGUGAAAUUCGUAGAUAUUCGGAAGAACACCAGUGGCGAAGGCGACAUACUGGAUCAUUACUGACGCUGAGGCUCGAAAGCGUGGGGAGCA
rnacentral:rRNA from 1 species